GGAGCUUGUUUCCUGCAAGAGCCUUUGUCAGGGAUUUUCCGGUGAUUUACAAUAAGACUCUAUCUGAUUGCAGUUCAGAUGAGUUGUUAUCACAAUUUCCUGAUCCCCAAAACACCAUCAUCAUUUGUGACUAUAAUAAACUUGAAGACGGUUUUGGUUUUGAUAGUCAAAUUUUUCAUGUCACUCAAGCAAGAUUCAUAGCAGGUAUAUUUAUCUCUGAAGAUCCAGCAGUGUUCAGGGUUGCUUCUUUUACCCACCCGGGAGUUGUGAUUGACGAAAAGGAAGGGAAACAAGUCAUCA
rnacentral:misc_RNA from 1 species